CACGUAGUUAGCCGUCCCUUUCUGGUAAGAUACCGUCACAGCGUGAACUUUCCACUCUCACACUCGUUCUUCUCUUACAACAGAGCUUUACGAUCCGAAAACCUUCUUCACUCACGCGGCGUUGCUCGGUCAGACUUCCGUCCAUUGCCGAAGAUUCCCUACUGCUGCCUCCCGUAGGAGUCUGGGCCGUGUCUCAGUCCCAGUGUGGCCGAUCACCCUCUCAGGUCGGCUAUGUAUCGUCGCCUUGGUGAGCCGUUACCUCACCAACUAGCUAAUACAACGCAGGUCCAUCUCUUAGUGAUGCAGUUGCACCUUUCAAAUCAACAUCAUGCAAUGUCGACUUUUAUGCGGUAUUAGCUAUCGUUUCCAAUAGUUAUCCCCCGCUAAGAGGCAGGUUACCUACGCGUUACUCACCCGUUCGCAACUCAUCCGGAAAGAGCAAGCUCCUUCCUUCAGCGUUCUACUUGCAUGUAUUAGGCACGCCGCCAGCGUUCA
rnacentral:rRNA from 1 species